CCCCUGCUUUUCCUCCCUGAGCAGGAGUCUUGCCGUGAUGACAGCGACAAGACUUUUGCGCCCCAGCGCCAUAGCGGCCUGGGGCGAUUUUUCU
rnacentral:ncRNA from 1 species